AUACUUACCUGGACUGGGUAGAUGGGCGAUCAAGAAGGCUCAUGGCCUGGGCAAGUGACCUCCAUUGCACUUAGGCGGGGUGCUUGCUUAAGGUCUCCCCAAGAGGGAGAGCCUACGUCAUAAUUUCGUCAUAAUUUGUUGCCAGGGGGGUUUGCGUACGCGCAGCCCCUGC